AUUGAACGCUGGCGGCAGGCCUAACACAUGCAAGUCGAGCGGCAGCGGGAGAAAGCUUGCUUUCUUGCCGGCGAGCGGCGGACGGGUGAGUAAGGUAUGGGGAUCUGGCCGAAGGCGGGGGAUAACCACUGGAAACGGUGGCUAAUACCGCAUAAUCUCUAAGGAGCAAAGUGGGGGACCUUCUGGCCUCACACCUUCGGAUGAACCCAUAUGAGAUUAGCUAGUAGGUGGGGUAAAGGCUCACCUAGGCGACGAUCUCUAGCUGGUCUGAGAGGAUGAUCAGCGACACUGGGACUGAGACACGGCCCAGACUCCUACGGGAGGCAGCAGUGGGGAAUAUUGCACAAUGGGCGCAAGCCUGAUGCAGCCAUGCCGCGUGUAUGAAGAAGGCCUUCGGGUUGUAAAGUACUUUCAGUCGUGAGGAAGGUGUUAAGGUUAAUAGUCUUAGCAAUUGACGUUAGCGACAGAAGAAGCACCGGCUAACUCCGUGCCAGCAGCCGCCGCCG
rnacentral:rRNA from 1 species